GAGAAUCCGGUGUACAAAAUCAGUCGUUAAUGGUGGAACGACCGUAUCAUCCAUCCCGUGCCAUACGUGUAUGGGGCCAAGGAAACCAGUGUACUCCUCUUCAGAUCUAGUAAGCACAAAUUUGAGCCAAUUGAGGACACCUUUCUCUGGCUUUUUCUUCUGCAACUUGAUGUCUGCAAGGCUGAAGCCCCAAUUCGAAACUUGCAGAACAGCUUCCUCUAUGAACGGUUU
rnacentral:misc_RNA from 1 species